UACGAACCGAGCGAACGUUGUUCGGAAUCACUGGGCUUAAAGGGCGCGUAGGCGGGUGCUCAAGUCUGUGGUGAAAUCCUCCGGCUCAACCGGAGAACUGCCAUGGAUACUGGGUGUCUCGAGGGUGGUAGGGGUAUGCGGAACUAUCGGUGGAGCGGUGAAAUGCGUUGAUAUCGAUAGGAACUCCGGUGGCGAAGGCGGCAUACUGGACCACAUCUGACGCUGAGGCGCGAAAGCCAGGGGAGCAAACGGG
rnacentral:rRNA from 1 species